CAGUCUGGGAGCAUGGCUGGCAGGGAGAGGGGCUUGAAGGUCUUUGAUGAGUUCCCACUGGCCCCUGGGUGGGUGAGCAGGGAGCCCCAAGCCCAACCCCUGUGGUGCCACUUACCAACCCUUUGCCUCGGUUUCCCAGCUGCACCUCGGGGGUGGUAAGAAUGUCCACCUCAGAGAGCCCUGGUGAGUACGGAAGAGAUCGUCCACCGAGGUAUUCAGCACAGUGGUCAGUGCACAUACUGUGAGCUGGGUUCUUAAUGCUGUAGAAGAACACUCAAGCCACCCUCCGGCAAAAGGAAAGACCAUCAGGGCAGCUUGGGAGAAUCUAGAGAGUUUCACGGGGUGAAGGUCUCUGGGUAUUGAUGGAUGAAUAGGAGUUCACAGGUGGGCUGCAAUUACUAACCCAGGUGUGUGGUGUGGUUGGGCUUGCAGGUGAAAGUGAGCAGAGAUGGCCUUCCAUGUGCGGAGCACGGCACGUCCAAAGCUGUGGAGUUGGGGAUGGCCAAGAUCUAUUCUAGAGAUCCGCUUUACACAGGAUACUGAGACUUCGGGAUCCACCAACCCCCCGCGGACACAAAGAAGCCAAACCUCUCUGGGCUGCGGAGGUCUGAGGCUUUCACAGCCAGCUCAUCCUGCAGAGGAGGGCGAAGCCCAGAGGGGCUGAAGCCCUGAGUGCGGCUGCCCAGUGAAAUAAAGCCGUUGCUGGAGCCCCGCGGUGCCACGCCUGCUGCGGCAAGGGGACCUCCGGGGGAAGGCCGGCUGAACCGUGCCCCGGGGCCCUUGUCUGCGCCCCAGGGUGGUCUGGAAGCCAGAUGGAGGCAGGGUUAGAGGGGUUCUGCGCGGGGGCGCGUGUACGUGUGUGCGUGCGUGUGUGCGUGCGGAGAAGAGCAGGGAGGCGGUCCUGGCCGCUCAGAAGCAGGCUGCACAUGGGUGUUCCCGUCAGGGCAAUGAGGAAGGACAGCAGCCCAAGGCGGGGCUGAGCAGCUCACAGGACGGGGCAUAGGUCACUGAGAACCCAGAAUAACUUAAAGUCUCCUAGGGGGGUUGAACUCUACUCCAUAAAGUACCCUGGGUUAUUUUAA